rnacentral:rRNA from 1 species
GAUGAACGCUGGCGGCGUGCCUAAUACAUGCAAGUCGAGCGAACAGACGAUGAGCUUGCUCCUCUGACGUUAGCGGCGGACGGGUGAGUAACACGUGGAUAACCUACCUAUAAGACUGGGAUAACUUCGGGAAACCGGAGCUAAUACCGGAGAAUAUAUUGAACCGCAUGGUGCAAUAGUGAAAGACGGUUUGGCUGUCACUUAUAGAUGGAUCCGCGCCGCAUUAGCUAGUUGGUAAGGUAACGGCUUACCAAGGCAACGAUGCGUAGCCGACCUGAGAGGAUGAUCGGCCACACUGGAACUGAGACACGGUCCAGACUCCUACGGGAGGCAGCAGUAGGGAAUCUUCCGCAAUGGGCGAAAGCUUGACGGAGCCACGCCGCGUGAGUGAUGAAGGUCUUCGGAUCGUAAAGCUCUGUUAUUAGGGAAGAACAAAUGUGUAAGUAACUAUGCACGUCUUGACGGUACCUAAUCAGAAAGCCACGGCUAACUACGUG